rnacentral:misc_RNA from 1 species
AAGUUUCCUUGGCCACUGCUUGAUCAAGAAGCACACUGUUCCUCUUGUAGUAAAGUUCCUUGAUAUCCAACAAGUCCUUCUCUGCCCUCGUGACGAUCACACGAGUAAUUGCAUCCUCAUCAGUCCCAAACUUUCUGAUUGCAUUCCUCAAAAUCUUCUCAUAGUACUUAAGAGGUUCGUUUAUGCAUCGAAUGGCUAUGCGAAGCAAGCGUUUGAACUCAUUAUCAGCAGGCUCACCCAACAAAGCCUUAGUGAUGGAAGUUCCC